AUUGAACGCUGGCGGCAGGCCUAACACAUGCAAGUCGAGCGGAGCGGCGGACGGGUGAGUAAUGCCUAGGCAUCUGCCUGGUAGUGGGGGAUAACGUCCGGAAACGGGCGCUAAUACCGCAUACUAUCAGAUGAGCCUAGGUCGGAUUAGCUAGUUGGUGGGGUAAAGGCCUACCAAGGCGACGAUCCGUAUCUGGUCUGAGAGGAUGAUCAGUCACACUGGAAAGGGGAAACGGUCCGAACUCCUACGGGGGGCGGCAGUGGGGAAUAUUGGAAAAUGGGCGAAAGCCUGAUCCGGCCAUGCCGCGUGUGGGAAAAAGGUCUUCGGAUUGUAAAGCACGUUAAGUUGGGAGGCGUUACCAACAGAAUAAGCACCGGCUAACUUCGUGCCAGCAGCCGCGGUAAUAC
rnacentral:rRNA from 1 species